CUCCAUCAUAACAUCCCUACUGACAUGGUUGCAUAUCAUGGAUCACAAAUUGCAGAAGGCAUUCAGCUGAUUGUGUGAAUUGUUCAUCAAAACUUAAUAUGGAUUGAAAUAUCCAGUGAUUCAAGAAAACUUGGUACGUUGGGUGAUGGACAGUAACUGCGAGAAUGCUGAAUGCUUGCAGAAAUUGAAAUAAAAUUCGGCAAGAUGUGCAGGGUGAUGUACUUUUUUGUGUUAAAUUCUGUCCAGCCUCCUGGACUCCUGGAUCCAGUCCAGAUGGGCUAAAUUAUGUUCAUAUUACAAAAGCUGAGAAUAGGGUG
rnacentral:misc_RNA from 1 species